GAUGGACGCUGGCGGCGUGCCUAAUACAUGCAAGUCGAGCGAACAGACGAGGAGCUUGCUCCUCUGACGUUAGCGGCGGACGGGUGAGUAACACGUGGAUAACCUACCUAUAAGACUGGGAUAACUUCGGGAAACCGGAGCUAAUACCGGAUAAUAUAUUGAACCGCAUGGUUCAAUAGUGAAAGACGGUUUUGCUGUCACUUAUAGAUGGAUCCGCGCCGCAUUAGCUAGUUGGUAAGGUAACGGCUUACCAAGGCAACGAUGCGUAGCCGACCUGAGAGGGGGAUCAGCCCACAUUGAACUGAGACACGGGCCAGACCCCUACGGGAGGGAACAGUGGGGAAUAUUUCACAAUGGGCGGAAGCCUUGGGGGACCAAGCCGCGUGGAUGAAAGAAGGUUUUGGGUUUUAAAAAACUUUUUAUUGGGAAAAAACAAAUGUAGAGAAAACCUUGCCGCUUUGACGGGACCCAAAGAAGAAGCCCCGGCUAACUCCGGG
rnacentral:rRNA from 1 species